rnacentral:lncRNA from 1 species
AAUUUUAAUAUUCAAUUUUUUGAUAUGUUUGAUUUAAGUGAUUUGAUGACAUUUUGGAUGUAAAAUUAAGCUAAUUAAUUAUUUUAGUAAAUUUAUCGUUAUGUAAAUUGUGUAAAUAUACUAACUAAACUCGUAAAGAUCAACGAUGCAUUCAAAAUUUAAAAUUAAAGGCUCACUAAUUUACUCAAAUCAACAACUUAAAAAAAAAAAAAAUCUGAUAGUAAAAUUUUUAAAUUUUUUAAAGAUUAAAUGAUCAGAUUUAACUGAGUUACAGCUGAGAUAAGUUUUAUACAAUUUUAUCUAGAUUUUACUGAUACAAGUUGUUCCUGCGUGAACAACUGAGCCACAUCUUUUCUUUCUCAUUGAGGGUGUGUUUGUUUGGGUGAAAGUGAGGGGCAAGUGGAGAGGGGGAAAGUUGUUUACGCCGUAAACUAUUACUUUCGUUGUUUACUUUGCUGUAAUUUUAUUACGGCCGAAAGUCGAGUUCACCCAAAAUAGGGUAAUUGACGGGGCGAAGUCAAUUCCGGUGAAGUGCAAAGAGGCAAAAAAACUUGUUAAAUUUGGUUAGGUAAGUUUUAAUAUAUUUUUUGUCUAAUUUGUAUAUUUAGAAAAUGAUGAAAAAUGAAUUUGUUAAAUGUUAAUAAUUUUUUAAUUUUAGAAUUUUAUUUGUUGCAUUAUUAUAAUUUAUAUGCAAACAAAUAAUAUAAUUUUUUAAAAUUUUAUUUUAUAAUUAUACAUAUAUAUAAUUAUAUACAUAUAUAAUUAUAUUAAUUUUUAUUUAUUAUAAUUUAUUAUUCACUAAGUUACAAAAUAGACAAUGAUAUCACUUCGGAGGUAAGUAUACCAGGAUGGAGAACUACACUUUUUACGUCAUCUACUUUCUAUCAAACAAACAACAGAACUCGCAAAACUGUACUUCCACAGUUAGAAACAAAUAGCGAAAGUGAAUUAAUUUUCACCCCAACUCCACUUCAACCCAAAGUCUACUUCCACCACAAGUCUACUUACAUCGAAACAAACCGGCCCUAAAAGGUGCUCUCCACCAACUUUGUUUGACCAUUAACUAUAAAAAC